rnacentral:misc_RNA from 1 species
ACACACACACACACACACACGGAAUUAGUUUUGCCCUUCCCUCUGUCCCAUGGUUGUGGUGGGCCCGGUGGCAUGGCAAUUGAUGCAUUGGUCUAACUUGCAAGAGUGAUCUAGACUUUCAAUUUGAGCUUGUGCUUGUUUGAAGAAAAAUGGCAUAUGUACAUAUAACAAACAGUGUAGGUUACUUAUGAAUCCAUUCAGACUACAAACUCAAUUCAAAAGUAAAUUUAUGCACUUUUAAAUUGUUAUAAGAGUGUUGAAUAAUCUUAUAUGAAAACCUUAAUAAUGUGUGUCUUCUGACUUUGUGAGCUCAACAAUUCAUUUCACUAAAAUAAUAAAGGAUGCACCAACAUGAAGUUAAUUGAAAGCUGCAGAUUGCAGAUCAACAUUGACAAUUUGACAUAGGAUUGUAUCAAUCUCUUGAGCAGUUUAUGCUUUAGCAACAAAAGUGUCAUGGUAAUAUUAACUGCAAAAGUGCGAGGAAUUUGUGUACAAGAUGCUAUCAUACUGAUAGCUCAGGAAAAGAAUAGGAAAAAGAAAAUCAAGAGGGCACUAACAACAAUGAAAAUCUUGAAAAGCACAAUAAAUAAAAAAAGCAAGGGUAUAUCAUGGUGAAAAUGAAUUGUUUCUAACCUAUCUGCUGCUUGCAGAGAAAGGGGAGCUAGAGCGCUGGAAGAAAGAUUGGCA